rnacentral:rRNA from 1 species
GAUGAACGCUAGCGGCAGGCUUAAUACAUGCAAGUCGAGGGGUAGCAAGAUUGUAGCAAUACAAUUGUUGACGACCGGCAAACGGGUGCGGAACACGUACACAACCUUCCUACAAGUGGGGAAUAGCCCAGGGAAACUUGGAUUAAUACCUCGUAACAUUAUGAGAUGGCAUCAUUUUCUAAUUAUAGCUCCGGCGCUUAAAGAUGGGCGUGCGACUGAUUAGGUAGUUGGCGGGGUAACGGCCAACCAAGCCUUCGAUCAGUAACUGGUGUGAGAGCACGACCAGUCACACGGGCACUGAGACACGGGCCCGACUCCUACGGGAGGCAGCAGUAAGGAAUAUUGGGCAAUGGACGCAAGUCUGAACCAGCCAUGCCGCGUGGAGGAUGAAGGUCCUCUGGAUUGUAAACUUCUUUUAUCUGGGAAGAAAUCCAUAUUUUCCAAUGUGGUUGACGGUACCAGAUGAAUAAGCACCGGCUAACUCCGUGCCAGCCGCCGCCGUAAUAC